rnacentral:rRNA from 1 species
UGGGGAAUUUUGGACAAUGGGCGAAAGCCUGAUCCAGCAAUGCCGCGUGUGUGAAGAAGGCCUUCGGGUUGUAAAGCACUUUUGUCCGGAAAGAAAUCCUUGGCUCUAAUACAGUCGGGGGAUGACGGUACCGGAAGAAUAAGCACCGGCUAACUACGUGCCAGCAGCCGCGGUAAUACGUAGGGUGCAAGCGUUAAUCGGAAUUACUGGGCGUAAAGCGUGCGCAGGCGGUUUGCUAAGACCGAUGUGAAAUCCCCGGGCUCAACCUGGGAACUGCAUUGGUGACUGGCAGGCUAGAGUAUGGCAGAGGGGGGUAGAAUUCCACGUGUAGCAGUGAAGUGCGUAGAGAUGUGGAGGAAUACCGAUGGCGAAGGCAGCCCCCCUGGGCCAAUACUGACGCUCAUGCACGAAAGCGUGGGGAGCAAACAGGAUUAGAUACCCUGGUAGUCCACGCCCUAAACGAUGUCAACUAGUUGUUGGGGAUUCAUUUCCUUAGUAACGUAGCUAACGCGUGAAGUUGACCGCCUGGGGAGUACGGUCGCAAGAUUAAAACUCAAAU